CUACGGGAGGCAGCAGUAGGGAAUCUUCCGCAAUGGACGAAAGUCUGACGGAGCGACACCGCGUGCAGGAUGACGCCCUUCGGGGUGUAAACUGCUUUUCUGAGGGAUGAAAUUCUGACACUACCUCAGGAAUAAGCACCGGCUAAUUACGUGCCAGCAGCCGCGGUAAUACGUAAGGUGCGAGCGUUAUCCGAAAUUACUGGGCGUAAAGCGUCCGCAGCCGGACUUCUCAAGUCUGAUGUAAAAGCCCGGGGCUCAACCCCGGAAGCGUAUCGGAAACUGGAGGUCUAGAGUUAUGUAGAGGCACGUGGAAUCCGUGGUGUAGGGGUAAAAUCCGUUGAUACCACGAGGAACACCAAAAGCGAAGGCAGCGUGCUGGGCAUAUACUGACGGUCAGGGACGAAAGCGUGGGGAGCAAAAAGGAUUAGAUACCCGUGUAGUC
rnacentral:rRNA from 1 species